rnacentral:rRNA from 1 species
GUCCGAGUUGUAAUUUGUAGAGGGCGUUUCGGGAGCGGCGCCGGUCUAAGUCCCUUGGAACAGGGCGUCAUAGAGGGUGAGAAUCCCGUAUGUGACCGGCGACCAACCCCAUGUGAAACCCCUUCGACGAGUCGAGUUGUUUGGGAAUGCAGCUCAAAAUGGGUGGUAAAUUUCAUCUAAAGCUAAAUACCGGCCAGAGACCGAUAGCGCACAAGUAGAGUGAUCGAAAGAUGAAAAGCACUUAGGAAAGAGAGUCAAACAGUACGUGAAAUUGUUGAAAGGGAAGCGCWGGCAACCAGACCUGUCCGCGGGCUUCAGCCCCCGUUCUCGGGGGUGUACUUGUCCGCGAUCAGGCCAGCAUCGGUUCGGGCGGUUGGAUAAAGGCCCUGGGAAUGUAGCUUCCUCCGGGAAGUCUUAUAGCCCUCGGCGCAAUGCGGUCAGCCCGGACCGAGGACCGCGCUUCGGCUAGGAUGCUGGCGUAAUGGUUGUCAGCGACCCGUCUUGAAACACGGACCAAGGAGUUGACCACUUAUGCGAGUGUUUGGGUGUCAAACCCAUACGCGUAAUGAAAGUGAACGGAGGUGAGAACCCUUAAGGGCGCAUCAUCGACCGAUCCAGAUGUCUUCGGAUGGAUUUGAGUACGAGCAUAAUUGGUCUGACCCGAAAGAUGGUGAACUAUACUUGAAUAGGGUGAAGCCAGAGGAAACUCUGGU